UCUCUCCCAAACCUCGCGAUCGCCUGCCCUCUGCUCUUCCCCUUUGGUUGAUCGGCUCCACCACAGCCCCAUCCUCUCCGCUACACCCUGCUCCUUCCCCACGCGACGACAAUCAGGGCUGGUGGAUAAGGUAGCUCCCAGCCCCUCUCGCUCAUGAGAUUGCCUGAGCCCCCAUCGCACCAACCUUUCAGGAGGCUGGGGUCGCUGGAUCCAACCAUGGUCUCCACCGACGCCUUCCUCUCCAUCACCACCGGCCAGCCUUGACCUGCACGUCGCCGUCUCUCGACCUUCAUCGAUCUCCUCCCGGCUGGCUACGUCCACGUCGCUAGAUCAAUGGAGGGGGACCUCCAGUGUCGUCGUUCGUCUCCUUCCCGACCUUCCGUCGGCAUGCUCCAUGGAUCUGGCCGUGGCCACAACCAAUGCAGCUACAUCGGCCACCACCGACGAUGCUAGCGAGGUGGCCACGGUGGUCGCUGCAGGAUCCAUUGAGGAGCACAACAUGGAGCUCACCUCGGGCUUCUCCUCAUUUUCUUCAAUGGCUGGAUCUCCUGAUCCCUGGCGGUGCUCUCCUCAUCCACGUACACGACGCUGAUCCACGUCCACCUCGUCCUCGGCGUUGCUCCCCGUACGCCUCCUGAUUAGCCAUGGCCAUACGCUAAUGUGCUAUGCCCCCGCCUGGUCAUCCAUGGCAGUGGUGAUUUACACUGUUAGAACUUUAGAACAAGGCACUUAUAUUUAUGCAUGAGGAUUUAUAAACUUUUAUACAAAUUGUAGGAAUAUACUACAUUUAGUGGAUUUUUUUCUACAAAUUGUAGGACUAUACCACUGUUUAGCACUUCGUAAUGAGAGCAAUUUCUAAUUUUUAUACAAUUUUGUACCUGUAGCACUUUAGUUUGGCACUUUGUCUAUUCUUUGGAAACUCUGUCAUUGCACAUACAGAAGAAUAGUACAGAUUUCCGGAUGAUUCUUAUUCACACUUUGUUCAACAUCCAUUUGUUUAUACUGACAUGUAAUCUAGAUGAUGACUAAGGUGUAGUAUUUAGAUUUGGCAAAAUUUUAGUUAAUUAACCUUUGCACUUUUUUAUUUACAUUGCCAGUUUCUUAUACAGCACAAAAUACAAAUGUAUCAAUCUUAUUGCCUACAUGUUUUAUUUGCUCCCAUGUUCACUUCUGUGCGGAUCCACAUCCAAGUUGAGGAGGCGCGGCCAAGGCCUGGAGGAAAGGCAUGUUGUCCCCGUCGCCAAACUGGGAGCUCUACGCUUUGGUGGUUCUCGCUUCAGUUAUGGAUUCCCUGAAGCUUCUGAACAGUUUUCAGUUAUUUCUUUCUUAUAUUUUUGCUGUCAAUUUCAAUUCAUUGCCUGAGCCUUGAAGCUUGGAGAGUAUUACUAAUUACUUGCUAUUCAUUAUUGCCUGAAGCUUCUGAACAUUUUAGUUAUUUCUCCGGUAAUGGAUAGUUGUUAUAUAUGUUUUUACUGCAGAGAUCACUGAUUAUUCACCCCAGACUAUGAUGUUUGUGACUAACAUCUAUUUACCAGGACAUGGGAGAAGCACGUCGUGGGUGAAGAAGUUUGCAAUGGAUCAACCUUGAAGACACUUGGAACAUUUGCUCGGGCGAUGACACUCGGCGGCGCACUCGCCACUGCCAAGCUGGUCAGGUCGUUCAUGCUCGACCUCGCCGAUUGUUGACCUCGCUGGCUUGACAGUGUCCUGUCUGAUUGUGAACGUAGGUGCUACUCUCUUGGACGCCACUGACUCAGGUUUGAGGAUUUUUCAAAUGCAUGCUUAUCUCCUUUUUGUGGAUUCAAUUCAUCAAUACUCCUCAGUUUGUUGGUUUAAUGGAAGUGUUGAUUUUCUUCUAUAGAAGAUCUAUGUACUUCUCAAUCCUGGUGAAGAUGGUUUCAUGGGCACAAAAGGAUUGUCAAUCAAAUUGCUGCUAGGGAUUCUUGGUUCAUGAUGCAGAUAUAACAUAUUUUGAUUACUGUUGUGUGGAUUAUGCAUUCGAAAUCAAAUAGUAAUGAAGUAACAAAAAAUAAUUUUCCUUCUGUAUAUCAUUGAUGAUAUACUUCUACUUUGUUUGUGGGUUCUACUUGCUCAUGGAGUUUUUCUUCUCUUUUCCCUUUUGUUGAAGAUAGGCCAUAGAAUCCGUGCUUCCCCUUCUUUUAUAUGUUAUCAAUGUUAUGUAUACAUGUAGCAUUGGAGAAUACUAACAUAUAGUGUUCUAUAAAAAAAGGGCAUCCAUCUAAUUCUACAUGACAACCUUCCAACGCGAGGUAACAUCAUUUGUGGCAUGUGUAUAUCUUAUAUCUACUAAAUAUCUCUUCUAGAUAUUGGCAUUACCAAGUGUAUACAUCUAUAUUGCCAAUUCAUCUGCACUUUUGAUAAAUUACUCAACAUUUUCAUGUUUUCUUUACAAUGGUAUGGUGUUAGCAAGCGUGUUGUCUUAUGAAAAUUUGAUGACUGCAUCUGCACUUCGUAUCUAAACAUGUUGUUUUAGAGCUAAUACUUUUACUAACUAUUAUGUUCUUUCAACUUCUUGUAUAAACAGACCAGGACCAGAAUUGUGAACCUCUUACCAUUAAGGGGCUUAUCUGUAUUCUAAGGAAAUAUUAGUGCACCUUGUAAUUCUUUCUUGGCAUGGCUAUGGCUAUUCUAUCGAGGUUUAAUUCUAUGGUACACAUAAUAGUUUGCUGGUAUGCAUAACUAUCUUGUCAAAGGUUUUGCCUGUGUAUAUCACUUCGUAGUUGAAAGUGUUUGCUGCAAUCAUUAUUAGCAUCAUGUUUGCAGUUUUUGUGGGACAAUAGUGUGGAACUCUACUUUCUACUCCUAAACUCUCAACGAGUCAGUGAUAGACAAGAUUUAGGGUCCAUUCAUAGAUGCGUUAAUUUGUUUUUGUAUCACUCCUUUCUGCCAUCAAUGUUUUACAUCCAAAUGAAUUACACUAUUCUUAUACAAUAAAUUAGCAAUAUUUUGAUUUCUUGAUGAUCGCUUAAAUAAAUAAAUACCCACGGUUAUCUGAAAGGAAACCAUGUUUUUUUUUGUAACAGGAACUAAAAAGUACAGGUGUAGUUGUCUAAUUUCUAGGGACAUAGACAUUUAUUUUCAGGUUGCAGAUUCAAGGUGGCGGAGAAGAUGGGAUGUGGGAUGUGGCUAGCUGUUCUGGCUGAGCUAACUCUGUUGUUAGUGUUCCAUAGCGGUUGCUGAUUGGCGAUGGUUCUGUCGCUGUAGAAAUGAGAGAUGACAUAGAGAUGAGGGUUGGGGCUACUGAUUCGGUGGGAUUGAGAGAAAUUUUAAGACUGAGAGUGAAAAGAAAAUGGACGAGAUUGAGAUAGCGAAUUGUGCCGCUACUUGCUUCCUGCUUAUGUCAUCCAUGUCCAUAUUGUGCAUAUCUAUACUGGAUUUUUUAAUCUUUUAAAUGUCAUUAUAGACUCCUUUACUAAAUCACCUCUCUUUAUCCUUACCAUUAAGAUGAAUAAGUACAAAGUUGUACUAAAGUUGAGACAUUUAUUUUGGGACAGAGGGAGUAGAAUGUUAAAAAGCAAACAUCUGUAUACCCAGUUUAUCAAUUCAAGUACGGGGCUAAGGCAUGAAAACUGCAUUUUAUCAAACAACAAUACAGUAAAAAAAUACAGAUGGAGCUGCAGUUUGCAUGUUUAAAACUAAUGUGUAUGUAAAUAUUAGGGACAUUUUCUUAUGAGCACCUGCAAUAUUUGCACAAAUUUCUUUCCUAAUGAUGGUCAAUUCUUUAGAUUUUUUUCAUAGUACAGAUGUCUAUCACCACAAAUGGCAUGAGUCCAUAAGUAUUUAUAUUUUAAGAGUUCAUAAGUUGGGUUGACUGUGAGACUCUAAAUACAUGAUACAUGGUCUUCUACAAUUUAUAUUACUGACCACUGAAGUGUUUUAUAUGUUAGUAUCUUAACAUAAAUAUUUUUGUGAUUAAAAAGUUUCAGCUUAUUCCUUUGAAUGACCUGAGAAAUAUAUUUGGAUCAGGUAAGCGUGAAGCACAGGCAUACAGAAAUAGGCUUACAGAAUCCUGUGGUACUGUUUUGGCUGCUGCUCCUAACAAAGCAUCAUUCCUCCAAAAUCUCUGCCAAGAGUUACAGUUUGAUACUGAACUUGCUAGCAAGAUGCAUGAAGAUACCAACUACACACUUGUUUUUUGUAUUGCAUCAUUAGUUUUACAUAAUAGUUCUAUGUUAGCUCAAAAUUUGAUCUUGAUCCUACUAGGAAGAUGUAUACCAUAUUAGCUACAGUUUGAAGGUUAUAAUCCUUUUAUACAUUCCUCCAGUGUAAAGGUUAUUAUUUUCUGUCCAAAUUUCUUCCAUGAAGAUGUUUUAUUUCA